UAUCUAUUUUGUGAAGUGCACCAGUCCCUCCUGCAGCAAAGCACCCUCACAACAUGAUGCUGCCACCCUCGUGCUUCACGGUUGGGAUGGUGUUCUUCGGCUUGCAAGACUCCCCCUUUUUCCUCCAAACAUAACGAUGGUCAUCAUGGCCAAACAGUUCUAUUUUUGUUUCAUCAGACCAGAGAACAAAAAGUACAAUCUUUGUCACCAUGUGCAGUUGCAAACUGUAGUCUGGCUUUUUUAUGGCGGUUUUGGAGCAGUGGCUUCUUCCUUGCUGAGCGGCCUUUCAGGUUAUGUCGAUAUAGGACUCGUUGUACUGUGGAUAUAGAUACUUUUGUACCUGUUUCCUCCAGCAUCUUCACAAGGUCCUUUGCUGUUGUUCUGGGAUUGAUUUGCACUUUCCGUACCAAAGUAAGCUCAUCUCUAGGAGACAGAACACGUCUCCUUCCUGAGCGGUAUGACGGCUGCGUGGUCCCAUGGUGUUUAUACUUGCGUACUAUUGUUUGUACAGAUGAACGUGGUACCUUCAGGCGUUCGGAAAUUGCUCCCAAGGAUGAACCAGACUUGUGGAGGUCUACAAUAGUUUUUCUGAGGUCUUGGCUGAUUUCUUUUGAUUUUCCCAUGACGUCAAGCAAAGAGGCACUGAGUUUGAAGGUAGGCUUUGAAAUACAUCCACAGGUACACCUCCAAUUGACUCAAAUGAUGUCAAUUAGACAAUCAGAAGCUUCUAAAGCAAUGACAUCAUUUUUUGGAAUUUUCCAUGCUGUUUGAAGGCACAGUCAACUUAGUGUAUGUAAACAUCUGACUGGAAUUGUGAUACAGUGAAUUAUAAGUGAAAUAAUCUGUCUGUAAACAAUUGUUGGAAAAAUUACUUGUGUCAUGCACAAUGUAGAUGUCCUAACCGACUUGUCAAAACUAUAGUUUGUUAACAAGAAAUGUGUGGAGUGGUUGAAAACGAGUUUUAAUGACUCCAACCUAAGUGUAUGUAAACUUCCGACUUCAACUGUACUGUACUGUGCUAUAUAAAGAACAGCCUGUCCUCUCUGAAAGGUACUGUGCUAUAUAAAGAACAGCCUGUCCUCUCUGAAAGGUACUGUGCUAUAUAAAGAACAGCCUGUCCUCUCUGAAAGGUACUGUGCUAUAUAAAGAACAGCCUGUCCUCUCUGAAAGGUACUGUGGUAUAUAAAGAACUGCCUGUCCUCUCUGAAAGGUACUGUGGUAUAUAAAGAACAGC
rnacentral:lncRNA from 1 species